CCACUAAAUCAUUCAAUUACUUUAAAUUGAGCCCAGAUUAUUUGCACACAACAUCACUCCUAAAUCUGACCCCUUAUUAUGAGAACAUUUUUUUUUCAUUUACAGACAUUGAAGGUGAAAUAGAGGAUCUUAGUCUAUUUUGUUGUGACGGAAGGACGCGCCGACUGCAGAGUCAAUGGUAUAACAGUGUUUCCCAAACUUUUUCCUUAGCGGAACACUACGCACAUUCUAAAUAUUUAGAAGGAACACUUUGCUUAUUGUUUUUUUUUUAGAAAUGUUAAUUUACGUGGUAGCCUUAUAGUUAAUUAUUUCAAUAGUUUGUGGACACACCUAUUCAGGGUUCCGCGUAACACAGUUUGGGAAACACUGGUAUAACACGAUGUUUACGAAUGUACGAAUCGAGAUUACGGGAAGUGUUAUAUUUAGAUUCUUAAAACGGAAGAUCUCAAGAAGUCACUUAAUCCUUGAAAUUCAUUUUUGUUGUUGUUGUAUGAUCGAUUUAGAUAGCUUAUUAAAAUGAGAGAAUAAAGCAGAUCACAAUGGCAUAAUGUAUUUCAAUGUCUUGGAACUAACACUUAUUGUAUCAAUAUAAACAAAUUGUAGUAGCACAAACAGACCACAGAGAUUAUUAAAAACGUCAUGCCGACCACAAAUCCAAUUAUCUCCAUGCAAACAUGAAUCCCUGCACCUCUGGAUACCAUUAGUCAUCUAAAUGUAAAUGUACUUGCUCUAACCUGAACUGAAGGAUCAGCUCAACAAACAAAAGUUCAUUGAGUCACGUGCAGCAAUAGCUCUUGAAAAUAACUAUUGACAUUGAUUCUCCCUGCUCGGAAAUAAACCAACCCAUCAAAAGUGUCAAUCACGUAAGUUUCGCUUCUAAAUCUUCGCGGAAACUCGACACUCAUUGGCCACAAAACACUAUUUCCGUAUUGGAUCGGACCUAAUAAAUGUGCUCUGAUCAGGUCUAAGCCCGACCCAUUAUCUCAUACCAACAAACCAGGACAGUGAAUAGACUACUGCCAAGACACUAACUGAAACAAUUUUGUUGGGAGUCCUUAAAUCAAGAUUGCAUAUGAAAUAAAAUGGAAGCUGUCAUAAAGUACAUGCUGCUGUUUGGCUGUUGGGGCGUUUGUUGGACAAAUUCAAUGCCGGGACCUAUCUGUCCUCUAGUGGCCUGCUUUUGCCCUUUUGGUGAAGUGUACACAGUGAACAGUGGAGGGUGUCGUGUCUGCCAAUGUAAGCCAGCCAGCAGAUGCCCAGCGAUUAGGUGUGCCAAUAGCUGCCCGGUCGGGUACAUCACAGACUCACUCGGAUGUCAAACUUGCCAAUGCAAGGCCACCCAGUGCCGAGCCGUUUCUUGCAAUUGCCCAUCGGGAACGGUAUGGGGAACAGACAAAAAUGGCUGCCAGACCUGCUCAUGUAAAUCCACCUCUCUCGACUGCCCUCUUGUCAGAUGCGCCACUCAGUGCACCGGUGGCUUCGACGUUGACGCCAGAGGUUGCCCUACCUGUAGUUGCAAGAAGAGAGAGGCAUUCAACUGCCCUGUUCUCAAUUGUCUCAACACUUGCCCUAACGGUUACAAGGUGAAAAAGACUGGCUGCCAGUCCUGUGCCUGCAAGAAGGGAGACAAAUCUCAAGAGUGCCCCAAAGUCAACUGCUUGAAUACAAACUGCACAUUCGGAUAUAAAUAUGACACUAAAGGUUGUCAGACUUGCGUCUGUGACACGCCAAGAAUUCUCUCUUAAAAGAAACUCUUAUACAACUGUGUUUCUAACAUAGUCAAUUAAAGUUUGGUCUGUAUAGUUACCCGGUACUUUUAUUAUUGACUAUUAACUAAUAAAAUGAAUUGAUUUAAA
rnacentral:sRNA from 1 species